GAUGAACGCUGGCGGCGUGCCUAAUACAUGCAAGUCGAGCGAACAGAUAAGGAGCUUGCUCCUUUGACGUUAGCGGCGGACGGGUGAGUAACACGUGGGUAACCUACCUAUAAGACUGGAAUAACUCCGGGAAACCGGGGCUAAUGCCGGAUAACAUUUAGAACCGCAUGGUUCUAAAGUGAAAGAUGGUUUUGCUAUCACUUAUAUAUGGACCCGCGCCGUAUUAGCUAGUUGGUAAGGUAACGGCUUACCAAGGCAACGAUACGUAGCCGACCUGAGAGGGUGAUCGGCCACACUGGAACUGAGACACGGUCCAGACUCCUACGGGAGGCAGCAGUAGGGAAUCUUCCGCAAAGGGCGAAAGCCUGACGGAGCAACGCCGCGUGAGUGAUGAAGGUCUUCGGAUCGUAAAACUCUGUUAUUAGGGAAGAACGAAUGUGUAAGUAACUGUGCACGUCUUGACGGUACCUAAUCAGAAAGCCACGGCUAACUACGUG
rnacentral:rRNA from 1 species